GUCCAGGAUAGCCUAGUGGACAUGGCACCUGCCCGGUAAGCAGAAGGUUGAGGGUUCGAUUCCCGCUCCUUGACA
rnacentral:tRNA from 1 species